UGCUCCGAUUACAACCUUAAAAUGAAAGCCUCUGGCACGAUUUAAACGCAUUUGCUUGAGCAAUACAAAAGAGGAAGAGAAAAUGGCAUUUUGCUGAUCCCGUUCAUGCAAUCUUAAUGAGAAACAUCAGUAAACAGGUCACACGAGCCUGUGCACGCUUUCAUUUCCAGGAGAGCAGACUGCGGCCCGUGCCAUCUGAUGACAGUUGGAGGACCGUGAUUCAGCAUGUAGGAUGCAAUGAGGUCAGGCUCUCAAUCAACUCUGUGAUUUCACCUGCCUACGAAAUAGCAAAAGAUCACGGCGGCCGGGCAACCGCACCACAACAAAACACAAAUCACUGCCACCCGACCUUACGGAACCUUCCUCCGUGGCUGCAUUGCCCCAUGAUGCUUAACUUUCAUGAGGAGUAACUACAGAAUGGAUACUCUCACCGUUUGAA